rnacentral:lncRNA from 1 species
GUUCUUGGAUGAGUUUAUCCUCAGAAGUCCUUAGGAAUAUUUAGGAAUAAAAAAUGAAGUAGUUAUCCAUUCCACUAUAAGAAAUUACCAUAACAUUUAGUAGCUUAAAACAAUAAACAUUUAUCUCAUAUUCUCAAUGAGUCAGGAAUCCAGGAGUGGCUUAGCUGGGAGGUUCUGGCUCGGCAUCUCUCAUGAGGUUGCACGCAAGCUGUUGCCUGGAGCUGCAAUCCUCUGCAGGCUGGAGGAAGGCGGUCUUCCAAGCACACUCACGUGGUUGUAGGCAGGCCUCAAGUUCCUCAAAGGUUGUUCGCUGGAGAUGAAAGUUUCUUAGCACAAUGAGCUCUCCAAGUCUUAAUCAGUUCAGGCUGCCAUAACAGAAUACUGUAGACUAGGUAGUUUGUAAACAACAGAAAUUUAUUUGUCACGGCUCUGGAGACUGGAAAUCUGAGAUGAGGACGUCAGCAUCGUCAGGUUCUGCAACCCCGAGAGCACAUCACAGUAUGGAGAAAACAUAAGAUCAAAGAAGCAUGCAACACUGAGCUAUCACACGGAGAACACCUGUCUGGGAAGCCACCUAAACUGACAGUGGACUUCUCAAGAGAAAGAAAUAAACUUUCUUGUUUUAGGACACUGAGAUUUUGGAGGUGUCUGUGCAGCAUAAUCUAUCCUAUCCUACUAUAUUCAACUCACAACUCCUUAUGCUCCAGGCCUACUUCUGUCUUUGAUUUCAUAUUAAAUUAAUUCCAACUUCCUCUUCUCUUAGAGCUAUAAUUUCAGUUAUAUAUGGCUGCAUAACAAACCACUCCAAAGCUUAAAACAACAAUAAAUUAUUAUUUCUCAUAAUUCUGUAUAACAAUAACAAGCAAAGUCAAGUCACCCAUAUUUUACAAAGUAGACUGGAGCUCAGAAAUCUAGACAUCUCAAAUCACACAACUAGUAAAUGGGAGAAGUGAAACUGGAACUCAUGUCUUACUACUGCAGGCCCUGUGUUUUUCAUUUUUUUUUUUUUUGGUUUGUUUUUUGCUAUUAAUGUAUCACAGUUACUUUGGCCAG